CAUAUACUCCCUCCGUUCCAAAUUAGUUGACUUGAAUUUGUCUAAACACAGAUGUAUCUAUACUUGUUUAGUGUCUACAUAUAUCCGUAUCUAGAUAAAUAUGGGUCAAGUAAUUUGAAACGGAGGGAAUAUAUA
rfam:Triticum aestivum genome assembly, contig: Triticum_aestivum_CS42_TGACv1_scaffold_212570_3AS